GAUGAACGCUGGCGGCGUGCCUAAUACAUGCAAGUCGAGCGAACAGACGAGGAGCUUGCUCCUCUGACGUUAGCGGCGGACGGGUGAGUAACACGUGGAUAACCUACCUAUAAGACUGGGAUAACUUCGGGAAACCGGAGCUAAUACCGGAUAAUAUAUUGAACCGCAUGGUUCAAUAGUGAAAGACGGUUUUGCUGUCACUUAUAGAUGGAUCCGCGCCGCAUUAGCUAGUUGGUAAGGUAACGGCUUACCAAGGCAACGAUGCGUAGUCGACCUGAGAGGGUGAUCGGCCACACUGGAACUGAGACACGGUCCAGACUCCUACGGGAGGCAGCAGUAGGGAAUCUUCCGCAAUGGGCGAAAGCUUGACGGAGCAACGCCGCGUGAGUGAUGAAGGUCUGCGGAUCGUAAAACUCUGUUAUUAGGGAAGAACAAAUGUGUAAGUAACGAUGCACGUCUUGACGGUACCUAAUCAGAAAGCCACGGCUAACUACGU
rnacentral:rRNA from 1 species